UUUUUUUUUUCUUUUUAGUAUUACAAAUAACCCAUAACUUCUGUACUGAAGGUAGGGUGCAAAACAAAGAAUCUUUUCUUCUGCAGUGUCUUAAAAGACAUGGGCUAGGCAGAUGGCUCAGUCAGUAGGCACCUACCUCAUGGUCAUGAGGACCUGAGUUCAAUAGCCCAUGUCAAAACAGCCCAAACUCCUAGAGUGUACAUGAAACCCAGAGUCAGGAAGGCAGAGAUUGGCAGAUCCCUGGAGUUCAAUGAUUAACUGUACCCGGCCUUCUUGGGCAGGUUUCAGGCCAACGAGAGAUUUUUGUCUUAGAAACAAGGCAGAUGGUGUCAGAGUAGUGACAACAUAUGUUGUCCUCUGGCCUCCACGCACGAACAUGAACAUGCAUGAACAUGAACACAUACCUCAAGCAGAAAACAUUUGUAGCACUUAUUAGUGAUCAGAAUCGGAUGCCCGUGCAUGGCCAUUCACUGCAAUUGUUGCUUAGCUGAACGUUGGCCUUGUUUACGAUGUCCUCUGAGUUCAGCGAGAUGCCCCUUUAAACCUCUAGGAGUUGAGCCUUAACAUAAUACUACAUCACAGCAACUCUAUUGCCCAAAUCAGCCACUGGUUUAAGGAGCGUUUCUUACCAUCGUCUGGCUAGCCAUGCUUCAGGGAGUCUUCUGAGAACUUUCUAGGAAAGAAACCAUUCCUCCUUGACUACAAAGAGAACUCUUUCUUUAUCUCAAGGAUGACAAGUGGAAACAUCAUGAUGCCUGAAACAUCAGCCGUGGUGAGAGGAUGGCUCAGGAAAAGGUCACAGAACUAGGAAAAAGUUAGCUCUACCGGCCCUGAAAUGCAUUACUUCCCAGCUUCUUAUGAUGUCGGAUGACAUAAUAAACUCCUCCUUGUGUAUGGAUUCAGACUUGGCUUUCUGGGACUCCGAAGUCCCAGGCUCUCCGUUUCAGUUAAGACAUAGGCUUCACCAGCAACAGCAGCAGCAGCAGCAGGCUCUCUUAUUGAGGUUCAGUCUGUGGGACACAGGGCAGUUCUUUGAUGUGUUCAAGCCACUGGGUCAUAUCCCACAAAGCCACGGCAGCCUUGAAAAAUAAUCACUAGGUACGGCAGUGUGUGCUUGCUGUUUCCAGAAACCAUCUAGAAUUGAGCAUCAAGCAUAGGACUCCGAAUUACAGAACACCCAUCACUGCACAGAUCUACAUCUGAAUAUACAGAACACCCAUCACUGCACAGGUUUCAUCUAAGAAGGGAAUCUGAAGAGAUGAGCUGCCUUGCCUACAGUCAUAAAAAAGAACACCACGGGGAAAUAAAAAUAAGAGUUUGCAUUAUAUCCUGACA
rnacentral:lncRNA from 1 species